UACAGAGGUCUCAAGCGUUGUUCGGAUUCAUUGGGCGUAAAGGGUCCGUAGGCGGUCGGUUAAGUCGGAUGUGAAAUCUCACAGCUUAACUGUGAGCGGUCAUUCGAAACUAAUCGGCUAGAGGGCUGGAGAGGAGACUGGAAUUGUCGGUGUAGCGGUGAAAUGCGUAGAGAUCGACAAGAACACCGGUGGCGAAGGCGGGUCUCUGGACAGUUCCUGACGCUGAGGGACGAAAGCUAGGGGAGCAAACGGG
rnacentral:rRNA from 1 species